GUUAGGAAUAUUGGACAAUGGGCGAAAGCCUGAUCCAGCCAUGCCGCGUGAACGAUGAAGGCCUUCGGGUUGUAAAGUUCUUUAGCCGAUGAUUAUAAUGAUUGUAGUCGGAAAAUAAGCCCCGGCUAACUUCGUGCCAGCAGCCGCGGUAAUACGAAGGGGGCGAGCGUUAUUCGGAAUCACUGGGCGUAAAGCGUGCGUAGGCGGCUUUGCAAGUUGGGAGUGAAAGCCCAGGGCUCAACCCUGGAAUUGCUCUCAAAACUGCAAGGCUCGAAUUCGGGAGAGGAUAGCGGAAUUGUCAGUGUAGCAGUGAAAUGCGUAUAUAUUGACAGGAACACCAGUGGCGUAAGCGGCUAUCUGGACCGAUAUUGACGCUGAGGCACGAAAGCGUGGGGAUCAAACAGGAUUAGAUACCCGGGUAGUCC
rnacentral:rRNA from 1 species